GGGUAUAGCUCAGUGGUAGAGCGCAUGCUUAGCAUGCGUGGGGUCCUGGGUUCAAUCCCCAGUACUACCA
rnacentral:tRNA from 1 species